CUGCCUCAGCCUCACAAAGUGCUGGAAUUACAGGUGUGAGCUAUUGCUCCCGGCCAGUAUUUGAAAUAAGUUUUUUUUUCUUGGUAUUUGGAAUAGGUUUUUGCCAAUCCAGAAGACUGUGUAACAUUUGGCAAAGGAGAAAAUGCCAAGAAGUAUCUUCGAACAGAUGACAGAGUAGAACGUGUACGCAGAGCCCAUCUGAAUGACCUUGAAAAUAUCAUUCCAUUUCUUGGAAUUGGCCUCCUGUAUUCCUUGAGUGGUCCCGAUCCCUCUACAGCCAUCCUACACUUCAGACUAUUUGUCGGAGCACGGAUCUACCACACCAUUGCAUAUUUGACACCCCUUCCCCAGCCAAAUAGAGCUUUGAGUUUUUUUGUUGGAUAUGGAGUUACUCUUUCCAUGGCUUACAGGUUGCUGAAAAGUAAAUUGUACCUGUAAAGAAAAUCAUACAACUCAGCCUCCAGUUGGUUUUUUAAGAAUUCUAUACUUCCAAUUUAUAAUGAAUACUUUCUUAGAUUUUAGGUAGGAGAGGAGCAGAGGAAUUACGAACUGGGGUAAACCCAUUUUGAAUAUUAGCAUUGCCAAUAUCCUGUAUUCUUGUUUUACAUUUGGAUUAGAAAUUUAACAUAAUAAUUCUUAAGUCUUUUGUCUGAUUUU
rnacentral:sRNA from 1 species